rnacentral:lncRNA from 10 species
CCCCAGCCCUGGAGGGGUGGGGGAGCUUGAUGGUUAACGGAGCCGACUGCGGAGGGCGAUGGCCCACGUCUGGGUGCGGGGCCCACACCCGGUUCUGCGACUCGAAGAAACGUCUCUGCCCCUAGGAGUCCCUUGGUGUAGACCACAGGGUUGCUGUGAAACUCAGCAGUGUUAAACUCGCCUAUGUUACACAGUACCUGGCGCGGCGUAGACACUCAGUAAAUGUUAGCUAAUCUUGUAUGCCAGGAGCAUUGGCCACCAUAUCUAAUGUAAUUACAAGGCAAAUUUUAGCCCCUUUUUUACCAAAGACUGGAUGAACCCAGUCCCUGGUGGUCUAGUGGCUAGGAGAAAAAAAAAAAAAAAUGAGCCCAGACGUUCAGUUUCCGAAGCAGCAUAGUUGGGAUUUGAAUCCCGAUCAUACAUACUGCUUGCAUGCACUGACGAGUUGAUUUUGAGGAAUUUUACCACGCACUAACCAGCUCCACCCUCUGGCCCUCCGUAUCGUCGUCUGUGAAAUGAGGAUGACCAUCGCUAUCUAACAGGAUUCAUCCCUCCAUUCGCUAAACCAGGUUUUGUUUCGUGCUUGUCAGGGCUUGUGCUAGGUAACGGAUGCAUCAGGGAUCUUGUAUGGGGUUUCCAAUCUGGCCUAUUUUGUGGAGGGUACACUGAGAAAAUUUUGUGCAAAAGACUUUAGCACUCUAAAUACAAGAAGUGGCUGAGCAGGAGAAAGUGGGGGUGUGUUAUUCCAUUUUGCAUUGCCACAAAGGAAUACUGAGACUGGUAUUUUAUAAAGAAAAGAGGUUUAUUUGGUUCUGCAGGCUGUACAAGAAGCAUGGCACCAGCAUCUGCUUCUGUUGAGGCCUCAGGGACCUUCCACUCAUGGUGGAAGGCGAAGGGCGAGCAAGCAGGCAACUCACAGGGCAAGUGAGGGAGCAAGAGAGAGGAGAGGAGGUGCCAGGCUUUUUUUAACAACCAGCUCGCCCAUUGACUAAUAGAGCGAGAACUCACUCAUUGCUUCAGGGAGGGCACCAAGCCAUUCAUAAGGGAUCCACUUCCAUGAGCCAAACAUCUCCCACUAGGCCCCAUCUCCAACACUGGGGAUCACAUUUCAACAUGACAAUUGGAGGGGACAAACAUCCAAACUACAUUGGGGGGAAUAAUAAAGAGGAUCUCAAAAAAAAGGGGUUGUAUAAUAAGCUUAAACACCUGAGGGUGGUAAGGUCUCAUAGACGAUGCGAAAUUGAAUGGAUGGGUAUAAGUAUAAACAUUAAGCAAUUUGUUUUCUGUCUGAGACGACAGCCAAAGAUUGUAAUUUUAAAAAUUCACCUGCUUGGAAUAUUCCUCAACAGAUUGGUAAAGUUCUCAUGAGGCAGUAGUUGAGACAUAGUAUAAAGCAAGAUUGCUAAAUAGGAGACUUACCAGGUCAUGUAAUUUUUUUAAAUUAUUUUUUCUGGAUGAGUAGUUUAG